GACGAGCCUCACAAACGUUAUUCGGAAUUACUGGGCUUAAAGGGUGCGUAGGCGGCGCGGCAAGUUGGGUGUGAAAUCCCUCGGCUCAACCGAGGAACUGCGCCCAAAACUACCGUGCUCGAGGAAGAUAGAGGUGAGCGGAACUUACGGUGGAGCGGUGAAAUGCGUUGAUAUCGUAAGGAACACCCGUGGCGAAAGCGGCUCACUGGGUCUUCUCUGACGCUGAUGCACGAAAGCUAGGGGAGCAAACGGG
rnacentral:rRNA from 1 species